UACGUAGGGUGCAGGCGUUACUCGGAAUUACUGGGCGUAAAGCGUGCGCAGGCGGUCUGCUACGAGAGGUGUGAAAUCCCCGGGCUUAACCUGGGAACUGCGCUUCUAACUGGCAGGCUUGAGUGUGGCAGAGGGGGGUGGAAUUCCACGUGUAGCAGUGAAAUGCGUAGAGAUGUGGAGGAACACCGAUGGCGAAGGCAGCCCCCUGGGCUAACACUGACGCUCAUGCACGAAAGCGUGGGGAGCAAACAGG
rnacentral:rRNA from 1 species